CCUGUGUGGAGGGGGACACCUCAGUCUCAGCUCCAGAAGUCCUGGGUUCUCUAACAGAGCUUGAAGGACCACAAG